AGUCACUGCAUACACAGGCGAGGAGAGCGAUCUGAGCACUGACGAAGGCACUGACAAAGAGGAUGAAUGCGAGGCUGAUGACGAGGACUCACAGGACAGUGAACGGAAGCCUGAUGGGAACACAGGGGAGACUGAUGUAGAGACGGAGGAGACGGAAUGGGAGACCGACGAAGAAUACUCCGAGGAGGAGACUGAACAAGACUCUGACGAAGACUCGGAAGGAAGUGGGUGGGAGACAACUGAAGACGACGCCGAGGAGGACACUGAUGAAGGCCUAGGGAGCGAGCGUGGCAGCGGUCGCGGCCUCCUGGCAAGGCUGAGGGCGGCGUGGCGACACCACUGCCGCGGCCUGCUUGUGGCCGCCGAAGUGGCCUUAAUAAUAGGCACUCUGAAAGUGUGGGGGCCACCCGCUUACAUUGCGAACUGGCGUUGGGGCGGCACUGGUGGAGAGCUGUGAGGGGCGCGAGGAAGCCUCCCUUAGGGACGCGUCGAAGGCCCCCUUCUACGCCCACGCCUUCAUGUACCCGAGCACAUGUUCGGGUGCAACGGAAGGCGGCGCGGCGAGAGGCCGAUGGCCGACGCGGGCCUUGGAGGCUUCCUUAUGAACACGCUAAAGGCACCCCUUCUACGCCCACGCCUUCAUGUACCCAAGCACAUGUUCGGGUGCAACGGAAGGCGUUGCGGCGAGAGGCCGAUGGCCGACGCGGGCCUUGGAGGCUUCCUUAUGAACACACCAAAGGCACCCCUUCUACGCCGACGCCUUCAUGUACCCGAGCACGUGUUUGGGUGCAACGGAAGGCGGCGCGGCGAGAAGCGUGUGGCCGGCGUGGCCCGGGAGGCUUCCUGGCCGGAUGCUUGGAAACGCCGUACCUAACCCGUCCCUCUGAUAUCCUCUCCUCUGAUUCUGCCCCGACUCGUUACUUCAAGGGAACUUCGCGACGCCAUCUCUGUACUCGCAAAAACCAUCACAGCCUCGCCUCUCCGAAUAGGUACACGUCCCGUCCCUCGGAGGUUCAGGCUCCCAGUACAACUAUAACCCAUGGCCAGAGGAGACGGACCGGGUUAUCAAGAGUGAUUUUCACGUUCAAGGUCCAGAGGACGUGUACAACUAGCACCUGCAUUACAAUAUUGUCCAUGAAAACUCCUGCAGCUUCCACGAGAGGCUUUUCAAAUAGGCGAAUUGAGGCGUGAGUACUCUUGUGCGGUGGAAUCAUACAUCGCACGCCUGGGCACGCUGCUCUCCCUACCGUCUGGAGUUUUCCUUCCACCUUCGCAAAUUCCAAAAGGGUUGUAGAAAAAAGGAAAAAAAGGACGUGCCCCAAGAUUGUGUCGCUGCUGUAUUUCUCAGUGUUUCUCUUACUUAUCAUCG